AACGAACGCUGGCGGCAUGCUAACACAUGCAAGUCGAACGAGACCUUCGGGUCUAGUGGCGCACGGGUGCGUAACGCGUGGGAAUCUGCCCUUCGGUUGGGAAUAACACAGAGAAAUUUGUGCUAAUACCUUAUAAUGUCUUCGGACCAAAGAUUUAUCGCCGAGGGAUGAGCCCGCGUAGGAUUAGGUAGUUGGUGGGGUAAUGGCCUACCAAGCCGACGAUCCUUAGCUGGUCUGAGAGGAUGAUCAGCCACACUGGGACUGAGACACGGCCCAGACUCCUACGGGAGGCAGCAGUGGGGAAUAUUGGACAAUGGGCGAAAGCCUGAUCCAGCAAUGCCGCGUGAGUGAUGAAGGCCUUAGGGUUGUAAAGCUCUUUUACCAGGGAUGAUAAUGACAGUACCUGGAGAAUAAGCUCCGGCUAACUCCGUGCCAGCAGCCGCGGUAAUACGGAGGGAGCUAGCGUUGUUCGGAAUUACUGGGCGUAAAGCGCGCGUAGGCGGUUACUCAAGUCAGAGGUGAAAGCCCGGGGCUCAACCCCGGAACUGCCUUUGAAACUAGGUAACUAGAAUCUUGGAGAGGUCAGUGGAAUUCCGAGUGUAGAGGUGAAAUUCGUAGAUAUUCGGAAGAACACCAGUGGCGAAGGCGACUGACUGGACAAGUAUUGACGCUGAGGUGCG
rnacentral:rRNA from 1 species